UACGGAGGGUGCAAGCGUUGUUCGGAAUUACUGGGCGUAAAGCGCACGUAGGCGGCUUUGUAAGUUAGAGGUGAAAGCCCGGGGCUCAACUCCGGAAUUGCCUUUAAGACUGCAUCGCUAGAAUUGUGGAGAGGUAAGUGGAAUUCCGAGUGUAGAGGUGAAAUUCGUAGAUAUUCGGAAGAACACCAGUGGCGAAGGCGACUUACUGGACACAUAUUGACGCUGAGGUGCGAAAGCGUGGGGAGCAAACAGG
rnacentral:rRNA from 1 species